AGUGGUUGUGAUAGUGGUUGUGAUAGUAGUGGUGAUAGUGGUGGUGAUAGUGGUGGUUAUAGUAGUGGUGAUAGUAGUGGUGUAUACAGUAGUAGCAGCUUAUGUAGUGACAGAAACUCGUUCCAUGAAGACCUUCCAUAUCACUUACGUUCCAUAUCAGAUAAAUAUAAAACACAAAAAAAAAAAAAAAAAAAAAAAAAGAAAUAAAAAAACAGAAUAUAAUAUACAUCAUGGUUCUAAUAAUAAUGAUAAAACUAAAUACAUUUUAAAGAUUGAUGAUGAAUACGAAGAAAAUAAAACAUUUAAUAAUUUUUUUAUACAAAGUUAUGAUGCAUAUAAAAAUAAGAUCAGUAAAGGUAUUGAUUCAUUUGAAGUAUCAAGUUUAGGAGGUAUAAAAAUUGUUAGAGUAAAUAAUUUGAAUAAUGGUAUAUAUGAGGUUAUAUAUAGAUAUAUAAAUAAUGAAAAAUUUAAUGAAAAUAAAUACAUGUAUGAUUAUAACAAUUUAUAUAAUAAUAUAAAUAUCGAUAUAUAUAACACAGAACAUAAAUGUACAUAUACUAACAUUUUUAACAUGAACAAUGAAAAUGACCAGUACAUAAAAAAUAAUAAAUAUCAAUACAAUCCGUAUAGAGAAGUAAAAGUAACAUUAAAUGGAGUUCAUAUAAAAGGAUCACCAUUUUAUAUCGUUUUAAAAAAUGAUAAACAAAUAACAUAUUUAAAUAGAAUAGAAAAUUUACUACCUAUUAAAAAUAUAAAUAUAUUAAAUCCAAUUGAAAGUUUAUAUAAUAUUAUUAAUUCAUACAAAUAUGUAGAAGAAAAUUAUAUAACAGAUAGAAAUAAUAAUAGUACCUACUUUAUGAAUGUAAAUCCUUAUUAUAAAAAUAAAGAACUUGAAAUUAUAUUAAAAAAAGUAAACAACAAUAUGAUAUCUCUUAUGACUAUCCCUAUGAAACAACAAUUAUUUAAUUACAUAAAAUAUAUGAAAAAUGAUAUAAAAAUUGUAAAAUUAAAAAAAAUGUUAUAUAAAGAACUAGUAGUUGCAUUAGCUAAAAUGAUAAAUUGUGCAGAUAGACAAUAUAGCAAUUUAAAAGAUAUUGAAACAGAUUUAAUAAAAAAAAAUAAAAUACAAAAAGAAACUACUGAUAAAUUAGAUGUUCUAUACAAAUCUUUAGAAACUAGAAACCUGCAUUCUGUACCCAUCCAAUUUAACAUAAAAGAUAUGGCAGCAUAUAAAGAAAGCCUUACUAUUAAAAAAAAAGAGUUACUAACUAAACAAAACGAACUAAUAGAAAAAUAUAAAAAUAUUAAAAAUAAAGAAAAUCAAUUCUUUAGUGAUAGAGAAAAAAUCACUAACGAACUAAAGAAAAAAUAUGAAAAUCAUAGUGCUAUAUUUGAGCUAGCUACAGAUGCUUUAACUCAAACAAAUAACAAUUUAAAACAUAUGACUUUAAAUACUAUUAAAAAAACAAAAAUGAAGUAAAAACAAAUAAACCCAUAAAAAAUGUUGUAAAUGGUAUGUAU
ensembl:lncRNA